rnacentral:rRNA from 1 species
GACGAACGCUGGCGGCGUGCCUAAUACAUGCAAGUCGAACGAGAGCAACCGGUGCUUGCACUGGUCAAUCUAGUGGCGAACGGGUGAGUAACACGUGGGUAACCUGCCCAUCAGAGGGGGAUAACAUCCGGAAACGGAUGCUAAAACCGCAUAGGUCUUCGAACCGCAUGGUUUGAAGAGGAAAAGAGGCGCAAGCUUCUGCUGAUGGAUGGACCCGCGGUGCAUUAGCUAGUUGGUGAGGUAACGGCUCACCAAGGCCGUGAUGCAUAGCCGACCUGAGAGGGUGAUCGGCCACAUUGGGACUGAGACACGGCCCAAACUCCUACGGGAGGCAGCAGUAGGGAAUCUUCCGCAAUGGACGCAAGUCUGACGGGGCAACGCCGCGUGAGUGAAGAAGGUUUUCGGAUCGUAAAACUCUGUUGUUAGAGAAGAACAAGUGCUAGAGUAACUGUUAGCGCCUUGACGGUAUCUAACCAGAAAGCCACGGCUAACUACGUG